GGAGGUGGAGGGCUGAAGGAGCAGGUAGCCGGCAGAAGAGAAGUCGAGAUGAGAAAGAUCAGAGUGUUAUUAGAGGGUGGAGAGAGGGAAGGAGAAAGCUGGCUGUGGGAACAGAAGGAAAUGAAGAACAACAAAAUUUAGAUUUGGAACCACGGUGGAUAGGUUCCUGACCAGACGGCUGGCUUGGUCAGCUUUUACCGUUAUUUUCUCUUGAGGGUGAGAUGGGAUGAGGGAUUUUGGAGGAGUAUUUCUCAAUCCACUAUCAAUCUGGGACAGUGUUUCCUAGUCAUGACAUACACAAACACACGCGUGCGCUCACACACACACACACACACACACACACACGACAGCGAUCACUGCUUUGAUGUGUAAAACCCUCAGGACUGAGAAAGAAUGGGAAGUCUUGUCAGUAUAACUUCGGGGUUCAGGGGAAAGAGGAGGGAAACUGUUUGUGUUCCUCUUCUUUUUCCCGUCUUCCCUGCUUUCCAGAAAAGCUAAGCCCGCGAAUGCGGUGCAGAAGCUACCCACAAGCUCUCGUGCAUCGGAGGGCGAGAGAGCACCACCGACUGCCUCCCGCUAACAGUAUGACCCCAGCGAGCCAAGGCCAGCCGCAUGCAGCCUGCUGGUGGUAUGUCAGCUUCUUCGAAAAAGCGGAGAAGUGGAAUCUGCACACCCAGAAACUCUCUUCAGGAGCCUUAGAAGUCCGACUGGGCAUGCUCGGAACUUGGGGGCACCUCGAAUCGAGGCACUUUCCAGCCCCUAACAUCUGCAUGGCUGGGCCAGAUGUGACCGAAGUGGGAGGCGUUGGCGCCCGCUUCUUGGAGCAGGCUCCUGUUCCGGGAAGGGUGGUGGCGACGCCCACAGCAGCCUUCUUCCCGGCUUCCUAGCGAGAGCUAGACCGUGGGAGAUACCAAGUGCCAAGCCAGGGGAGACAGACCAACUGAAAAAAAAAAAAAUCAAGAGUCUUGCGGACUCCCAAGCCCCUUACCCCCCAGCGCCACCCCAGCCAUAGCCAGGUAGGGGGCGUGCAGAGCAGAGAUAGAUCCCUGGUUGUGUUCGUAGGGACCGCUAACCUCUUAGUAAAGAAAUAAUAGCGCGAAGCAUCGAACCGUCUUUGGGCGAAGGACGUUUGCUGAUGCUUUUCUUGAGUAAAGAAAGAAGGGCGUGUAUGAAUGUGUAUGUGUGCACGCGCGUUUUUAAUUUUCCUCCUCAAAAACAGAAAGGAGAGCAUGAAGCUAUUGCCCAGUUGAGAGCCCGCCAGGGGUUGCAAUAAAGCGCGUUUGGAGCAGUGGCUGGCGCUAAUUACCGGGAAGAGUUGCUUUCGGCGCGCACCAAAGCUUCCAGCUGUUCCCCCCUCCCUGGGUGGCAUCAGCUGCCGGAGAAGAAGGCUUCUGGGCUGGAUUGGUCUCUGCGCUUCUGAACCGCGGGACUGGGUUCGGUUUCCCAAAGAGAGGUAGUGUAGGGUGACGCCAGGGGGAGAUCUUGGAACCCGGUGUUCCCAUCUUCCCGGCUUUUGAAACAGGUAUUUGCAGAGAAGGAGCAUUGUCAGCCCAUCACACCACUAAGGGGAGGAAAUACAUGGAACUGAACACUGGGGAGGGGGGGAGGCGGGCAAGAAUCAGAGAAUCAAGAGCACGUUUAUUCCCACCGUCCUUUUUCCAACACUGCCUUCAGCUUCAGGCGGGAAUCAUUCGGAUCCCUGAGGCCUAACACCACCACCCCCAACCCCGUCCCGCCCCACCGCCCUGCCAACAAAGAAACAAAAGAUGACAACCAGACUCUGUAUGGGGCGUAGCAACUGCUUCCUCCGUGGUCUCCCUGUUGGGCUGUUGAAAAAGCAGUGGGGGAAAGGAUGACUAUAAAGCACAUCUUGUCUCCAGUAUGUAAAUGAACCUUCCUAAAACCCACUACCCUCCUUCAAAAUAAAAACAAGAUCUUUAUAUAAUAAAUAUCCAUACUUUUAUAAAUCCUAAAAAAGAAAGAUUUCACAUUAAGAACUGCCCAAACCCUAAACUGUGGAGGGAAAAGACUUUCAGGUUACCUCCUCUAUCCCCACCUCAAAGUUCUAGAAGGAGGUUAAAAAAAAAAAAAAAACAUCUGGCCAGUCCCUUCUUCAACUGGAGAUAUUCUAAGGAAAUUCUGUAACCAUUACUUCAGGAAAGGGUUUCCUACUAAGGAAAAGAAGGUGCUGGCAGAAUGGGACAUAGACAACCCAUGACAGCAAUGGAAAUGUAAUACAGGAUUUAAAACUAUGAUCAUUUCACCUUCAUUCUCUUUGUUACUCUUUGAAGACAUUGGGGAAAUGGACAGUUAAUACCUGGGAUUUCACGAAAGGAGACUCUGCUUCUUUCCUGGCAAUUCAGCAACCUAUUUUUUAAUAGAUAUUCUUUAGUUGUAGAUGGACACAAUACCUUUUAUUUAUUUAUUUUUAUGUGGUGCUGGGGAUCGAACCCAGUACCUCACACAUGCUAGGCAAGUGCUCUACCACUGAGCUACAACUCCUUCCCCAGCAAUCUGUUUUAUCAUUAAAAAAAAAAAAACUUUCCCCUACUGUCUCUUGAUAUUUUCUCUCACAUUCUUUCUCUCAUUUUACUUACUGGUCUCCUAAGUUUCUCUGAUGUCCCUCAUUCACUUGUUCUGUAUUGGUCUCCCUUAAGUUUCUUCAAAACAUUGUUUUCUGUUCCAAUUCUAAAAUACAGAAAGCUGUGUCACAUUCUCCUUUUCCUAAGAAUGGAUUUUCUGUUUCUAGUGAUCCAUAUCCUGCUAUUGUAGGUGGAUUUCCUAAAGCAUUUAUUCAACUUUAGAGAUGUCCCAGACACAUUUCAGCAACAGACAAUUACAGAAUUUUAAGUAGUUUUGCUCAUGGGAUCAAGUAUUUCCAUUUCAAAUAUGGAUAUCAUGAAGAAGCACACUAAAUUGCUAGUUUUGGAAUGGCCAAUGUAAGGGGCAAUGUAAUUAAUUGUAAUGGAGCAUGCAAUCUCUAUAUGACAGUCAUCCAGUUGCCUAUUUUAUAUUAUUUAAAUAAUGUGCUAGGAAUUCACAAGAUAUAUGUCUUUUUGUUAACAAAGACACACAAACACUUGUAUUAUAUACUUUUAUAUGUUUAAUCCCAGAACAGAUGUAAUUACAUAAAUUUAAAUCAGCAAAUGUGGAUUAUCUACUGUAUUCCAGGAAGUGUGCCAGCACUGGGAAUAGGCAAAGAAUCUAAGAGAUGUUCAAUGAUUUGUGAACAGUUCAAUUAUCAACAAAUAUAUAUUGAGAAAUUAUUACUAUGUGCCUAGAACAAUUCAGUCUUAGAGAACAAUAUUUAGAUCUUCUGGCUUUGGGGUUUUUUAAUGUAUUUGUUUAAUCACAUAGGUUGCAUUCUGUGAGAAGAAUGCAUAAUGGAAAUAUCACUUAUUUCAAUCUUGUUUCUAAGUACCCUCAUAAGUAAGAGUGUAAGUACAAUAAUAUUAGAAGACUAAAGUCAAUAACAAUUACAUAAAAAAAUCAAUGUGUACCAUCUGAAAUGAAGUUUUGUUUGGUUGCUUGACUAAUGGAAAGAUGUUUUCAAAGGCAUACUUUCGAUAUGUACUUGUUGUGGCAAGCCAUUAUUUCCUAUUGCAAUUGGUAAUACCAUCCAGAAAUCAUCUACCAGAGAUUAUGAAUGGUUCUGGCACUUUAAAUUUUGGCUACAAUGAUUAGAAGCAGGAAAGGUGGCUUAAUGAUUUUCUAUCCAAACAGCUUCUUCAUAAACAGGUCUCUAAAACUGCAUUCACCAGCUUGCUGCUAGGAAGUGCCCAUAUCCCGCCACUGUGCCCCUCUGGGGAAAGCAGCCACUUUGGAGGAAGCUCACUUGGAUGGGAACAGUUGGUGGCCAGGAUUUUGCAUCCAUCUGUUCACAAUAGAAUCAGAUGACUUAUUUUUUAUACACCCAAAUAAGGCUCAGGAGAACAACUGACAAACCAUUUAAAGUCUUCUCUUUACCUAUUCCUAUUUAGUAUCCAAAUAGACCCUGUGGAGCCUCUUCUCUGGCUAAACUACCAAGGAAAAGCAAAAUACUUUUUGUUCUAAUUUUGGGCUUUAGCAAGUCAUUUUGUAUUCCUUAUAGCAAACCUCGCUUAAAAGAAGUAAGUGUACACUCAUAUAGCAUAUCCUUCAAUGGAAAGGCUCCAUCAGUGCUGCUGUACUUUACACUCAGAAUAAAAUGUAUCCCUAAUACAGAUUAAUCAUAACCUUCAGGAACCAAGGCUUCUCAAUAGGAUGCAGUGGCAAUUCAUUUGUAUUAUUGCUAUAAUUGAUUCAAAUAACUGCCUAAAUGUUAAAUUAUAGACAGUUAAAAGAAAAGUACCUUGGUCUUUAAUUUAUAUAAUAUUCACUUAUAUUUGAUAUUCAUACACAUAAACAAAUAUGGCAAUAACAAUAAUUUGUACCAUCAUAAAGUUAAUAUAGUGUCUUCCCUUGCAGAUCUGAAAGCUGGCUUUAUGCUAGUGUUUGUCUUUUUAUUGAAAAUACUUUUAAGAAUAUUACUUUCUGGCACUUUUUAACUAUCACAGUUGUUGAAAAGGGGAAAAUUGGUUUCAAAAUGUACUAUGAUUUCUGUUUUUGAGAGGUGAAAUUGCACUCCAGAAUAAAGAAUUUGAAAAGAGUAUAGAACAAUUAAGAUUGUUCUGUUGGCAUUUAAAUGCACUUGAACUUCUCUCUAACUUUGUGACCUCAUCAUCAUAACCUUUUAAGUGAAUUAUUAUUAUGAUUGACUUACAGGUAACUAUUACUUUAUACUGCAAUAAUAAGGCAUUUAGUGCUUCUAAAACACAUGUUUAAUAAUGGCCCAAAGAAGACUUUAUAGUCACAUACAUUGACAAUUGCUAUUAGAUGCUAACAAUUAUUAGGAUAGUGUAUCACAGACCUUAUUGGAUUCUAAAAUAAAAUUUAUUUGGAAAUUCAGAACAAGGAUCUCAUCAUUUUCCAUACAACACAUAAAUGUGCAUAAUUUCUUCUCAGAUGAAUAGUCUCCCUAUAUGUCUUAAUUGUCUCAUUCCUACUUUCACUAAGCAAAAUUUUUCAGAACACCUACUAUGUGCAUAUUCAGUACUAUGUAUUGGGAAAGCAGUGGAAAACAAAACACACCUGUUCCUUCUCUUGUGGAGAUUGCAGUCUAUUGGCAGAGGAUAAACAUAACCACUUCUUUAAUCAAAUACAUAGUUCUAAACUGGCGGAUGUUCUGAAGGAACAGAACAAGGUAUCUCCAAGAGAGCAGAGUCGAUUUAAAUUGGGCUUGAGAUGGUUAGGUAGGAUUCCCUGAGACAGUGACUAUUAAUUGGAGGCCUGAAGAAUGUAUAGUAUUUAGCAUUCCAGGCAGAGAAAAGAGAAACAAUGUUAAUUGAUAUGAGAAAUUUCUGGACACAUCAAAGACUACAAGGACAACCUAUGUAUGUAAAGUGUCAUGAGCAUGAGUAGCUCAGUGAAGCAGUGAUGUAGGAUGAGACAAGGACAGGCAGAAAAUUGUUAAAUCAUCCAGAGCCUUAGGGACAUUGAUUAGGAUUUUGGGUUUUACCCUUAGAGACAAUGGAAAGUCAUGGCAUGUGUGAUAUGAUCUGGUGUACAGUUCGAAUAAUUUUUACUCAUGUCAAUCAAAUCCUUAUUACUCAUUAAUUCUCAAUAAACAUUUUCUAUCCUUA